ensembl:lncRNA
AUUCUUCUCUUCCUCAGUUGAUGCUGAAAAUGCUUUCAGCCCUGUGUGUGCCCUGCUGGUGCUUUGCUCCUUGCUGCUGCAGGAGGUGGGCUGCUGGGGCAGUGGGUUUUGUUUUGCUGCUCAUAGCAGGGUCUGCCAGACAGCGUACUGUGAAACAGGAGGCACUGGUGUUAGCUGGAGGAUUUCGUAGUGGCUGUUGAAUUGUUACACAUCCAACAAGUGAACAGAAAGUCUCUUCACAGUUGUUUCUCUUACACGGAUCAGCUCCAUCUGCUUCCCUUACCUUGAUGGAGUAGCUGGUGGGGACAGGUUGAGCUGAGUUGAACUUGCAACAGAGGGAGGAUGCACAGUAUUUUAAGUUAAGGGAAAGUCUCAAGGGGGAAUUCACAGCUUUGAAAACUGUCGCCCUGUUCCUUCCUGGCACACUGGUCAGAAGAGACAGGGCAAGGAGAGGGUCCUCAGUCUUCACUGAGUCAGGCUUCCCAUAUCUCUCAUGUCCCUGACUGCUGUGGGAGGGUCGGGUGAACAAACUUCCUCCCGCUGUAAGAACAGAGCAAGUAUGAGGCAGCCUUAUGAGGCUGAAUGUGUACACAUCUACGGAGCCCAAUGACAUGCAUCCCAGGGCUCUGGAGGAACUGGCUGAUGGGGUUGCCAAGCUAUUCUCCGUUAUGUUUGAGAAGCCCUGGCUGUCAGAUGAAGUUCCUUGGAAAACAUCACUCCCAUUUUUAAGAAAGGGAGACCCAGGGAACUACAGGCUGCUGGGCCUCGUGUCUGUGCUUGGGAAGGUCAUGGAGCAGAUCCUCCUGAAAGAGAUGUUAGAAAUCAGGAGGAAAGUGUUUGUACAGAGGACCAUGAGACCCUGCCACAGGGUCCCAGAGAAGCUGUGAGUGCUGCUAUUCAGCCAGUAUUUGCUUCUGUCUGCUAAUUUAGAGUUGAGUGUAAAAUAGAUGCUUUGAAGCAAAUCUGUAUGGACAUCCUGUGUUGGGAGAAAUUUGCAGGUUGAGGUGCUGAAAUCUUGG